AGAGUUUGAUCAUGGCUCAGAUUGAACGCUGGCGGCAGGCCUAACACAUGCAAGUCGAACGGUAACAGGAAGCAGCUUGCUGCUUCGCUGACGAGUGGCGGACGGGUGAGUAAUGUCUGGGAAACUGCCUGAUGGAGGGGGAUAACUACUGGAAACGGUAGCUAAUACCGCAUAAUGUCGCAAGACCAAAGAGGGGGACCUUCGGGCCUCUUGCCAUCGGAUGUGCCCAGAUGGGAUUAGCUUGUUGGUGGGGUAACGGCUCACCAAGGCGACGAUCCCUAGCUGGUCUGAGAGGAUGACCAGCCACACUGGAACUGAGACACGGUCCAGACUCCUACGGGAGGCAGCAGUGGGGAAU
rnacentral:rRNA from 1 species